CCUACGGGAGUCUGCAGUGAGGAAUAUUGGUCAAUGGGCGCGAGCCUUAACCAGCCAAGUCGCGUGAGGGAAGACGGUCCUAUGGAUUGUAAACCUCUUUUGUCGGGGAGCAAAAGACGCCACGCGUGGCGUUCCGAGAGUACCCGAAGAAAAAGCAUCGGCUAACUCCGUGCCAGCAGCCGCGGUAAUACGGAGGAUGCGAGCGUUAUCCGGAUUUAUUGGGUUUAAAGGGUGCGCAGGCGGAAGAUGAAGUCAGCGGUAAAAUUGAGAGGCUCAACCUCUUCGAGCCGUUGAAACUGGUUUUCUUGAGUGAGUGAGAAGUAUGCGGAAGGCGCGGUGUAGCGGUGAAAUGCUUAGAUAUCGCGCAGAACCCCGAUUGCGAAGGCAGCGUACCGGCUCCACACUGACGCUGAGGCACGAAAGCGUGGGUAUCGAACAGGAUUAGAUACCCCUGUAGUC
rnacentral:rRNA from 1 species